AUCAAAUAGGCGCUUGCAGUAAAAUUCAGAAUUUGCUUUAUUCAAUCAAAGUAUCAAACUGAAUUAAUUAUUUUGAAGUAGUGUUGUGGUGCUGCCUUGAAUUCUCAAACGUAAGUUAGUCUAAGACUGACAACAAACUUUGAAUACCUCGAACAUUAAAAUGUGAGAUAAAUUUAAUUUUUUGCACCCCUUUGCACCCCUGUUAACCAAGGCCUACCUGGGUGAAAAACAAAUAUCACCACUCUCCUAUAAAUCCACCACUAGAUUAAACGAGGAUGAAAGUGCAUGCGAGUUGCCAAUCCCGCGACUUUGACUGGAUGUUCUCAAUGCUUUCACAAUUACUAUCAUGUAUUUUAUUUAAAACAUAAUUGGAAAACUCAUCAAUCAUUUAUUUUGUACCAAAGCGCGACUGUCUACUCUCAUCAA